UACAGAGGGUGCAAGCGUUAAUCGGAAUUACUGGGCGUAAAGCGCGCGUAGGUGGUUUGUUAAGUUGGAUGUGAAAUCCCCGGGCUCAACCUGGGAACUGCAUUCAAAACUGACAAGCUAGAGUAUGGUAGAGGGUGGUGGAAUUUCCUGUGUAGCGGUGAAAUGCGUAGAUAUCGGGAGGAACACCAGUGGCGAAGGCGAUCACCUGGGGUUGUUCUGACGCUGAGGAGCGAAAGCUAGGGGAGCAAACGGG
rnacentral:rRNA from 1 species